UACGGAGGAUGCAAGCGUUAUCCGGAAUGAUUGGGCGUAAAGCGUCCGCAGGUGGCUAUGUAAGUCUGCUGUUAAAGAGUGAGGUUCAACCUCAUAAGAGCAGUGGAAACUACAUGGCUAGAGUGCGUUCGGGGCAGAGGGAAUUCCUGGUGUAGCGGUGAAAUGCGUAGAGAUCAGGAAGAACACCGGUGGCGAAAGCGCUCUGCUAGGCCGCAACUGACACUGAGGGACGAAAGCUAGGGGAGCGAAUGGG
rnacentral:rRNA from 1 species